GGGCCCGUAGCUCAGUUGGGAGAGUACUGCAUUCGCAUUGCAGGUGUCGUGAGUUCGAAUCUCAUCGGGUCCACCA
rnacentral:tRNA from 1 species